rnacentral:tRNA from 1 species
UCCCUCGUGGCUCAGCUGGUAAAGAAUCUGCCUGCAAUGCAGGAGACCUGGGUUCAAUCCCUAGGUUGGGAA